rnacentral:rRNA from 1 species
AGUCGAGCGAGUCUGCCUUGAAGAUCGGAGUGCUUGCACUCUGUGAAACAAGAUACAGGCUAGCGGCGGACGGGUGAGUAACACGUGGGUAACCUGCCCAAGAGAUCGGGAUAACACCUGGAAACAGAUGCUAAUACCGGAUAACAACAGAUGAUGCCUAUCAACUGUUUAAAAGAUGGUUCUGCUAUCACUCUUGGAUGGACCUGCGGUGCAUUAGCUAGUUGGUAGGGUAACGGCCUACCAAGGCGAUGAUGCAUAGCCGAGUUGAGAGACUGAUCGGCCACAUUGGGACUGAGACACGGCCCAAACUCCUACGGGAGGCAGCAGUAGGGAAUCUUCCACAAUGGACGCAAGUCUGAUGGAGCAACGCCGCGUGAGUGAAGAAGGGCUUCGGCUCGUAAAGCUCUGUUGUUGGUGAAGAAGGACAGGGGUAGUAACUGACCUUUGUUUGACGGUAAUCAAUUAGAAAGUCACGGCUAACUACGUGCCAGCAGCCGCGGUAAUACGUAGGCGGCAAGCGUUGUCCGGAUUUAUUGGGCGUAAAGCGAGUGCAGGCGGCUCGAUAAGUCUGAUGUGAAAGCCUUCGGCUCAACCGGAGAAUUGCAUCAGAAACUGUCGAGCUUGAGUACAGAAGAGGAGAGUGGAACUCCAUGUGUAGCGGUGAAAUGCGUAGAUAUAUGGAAGAACACCGGUGGCGAAGGCGGCUCUCUGGUCUGUUACUGACGCUGAGGCUCGAAAGCAUGGGUAGCGAACAGGAUUAGAUACCCUGGUAGUCCAUGCCG